AGCAAACAGAAAAUUGUGGAGGUUUUGUUGGUGUGCAACAGAAGAACAUGGCGCAAGAAACUAAUCACAGCCAAGCACCUAUGCUUUGCUCCACUGGCUGCGGAUUUUAUGGAAACCCUCGUACAAAUGGCAUGUGCUCAGUAUGCUAUAAAGAACAUCUUCAAAGACAGAACAGUAGCAAUGGUAGAAUAAGCCCACCUGCUUCUGUCAGCAGUCUGUCUGAAUCCUUACCAGUACAGUGCGCAGAUGGCAGUGUCCCAGACGCUCAGUCGGCGCUAGAUUCUACGUCUUCAUCUAUGCAGCCAGGCCCUGUAUCAAAUCAGUCACUUUUAUCAGAAUCUGUAGCACCUUCCCAAGUGGACAGUACAUCAGUGGACAAAGCAGUAUC
rnacentral:lncRNA from 1 species